UACGAGAGGCCCAAACGUUAUUCGGAAUUACUGGGCUUAAAGAGUUCGUAGGCGGCAUUGCAAGUAGGGUGUGGAAGCCCUCGGCUCAACCGAGGAAUUGCGCUCUAAACUGCAGUGCUCGAGGAACCUAGAGGUGAGCAGAACAGAUGGUGGAGCGGUGAAAUGCGGUGAUAUCAUCUGGAAUACCGGAGGCGAAGGCGGCUCACUGGGGGUUUUCUGACGCUGAGGAACGAAAGCCAGGGUAGCGAACGGG
rnacentral:rRNA from 1 species